UGCGUAGGCGGGCAGGUAAGUCAGUGGUGAAAUCUCCGAGCUUAACUCGGAAACUGCCGUUGAUACUAUUUGUCUUGAAUAUUGUGGAGGUAAGCGGAAUAUGUCAUGUAGCGGUGAAAUGCUUAGAUAUGACAUAGAACACCAAUUGCGAAGGCAGCUUACUACACAAUGAUUGACGCUGAGGCACGAAAGCGUGGGGAUCAAACAGGAUUAGAUACCCUGGUAGUCCACGCCCUAAACGAUGAUUACUCGACAUACGCGAUACACUGUGUGUGUCUGAGCGAAAGCAUUAAGUAAUCCACCUGGGAAGUACGUUCGCAAGAAUGAA
rnacentral:rRNA from 1 species